CCCUUAGAUGUUCUGGGCCGCACGCGUGCUAGACUGAGUGGAUCAGCGGGUCAGGUUGCGCGAAAGCGUUUCCUAAUCUUUAAAUCCGCUCGUGAUGGGGAUUGACGGUUGCAAUUUUCUGUCAUGAACGAGGAAUACCUUGUAAGCGCGGGUCAUCAUCCCGCGCUGAAUACGUCCCUGCCCUUUGUACACACCGCCCGUCGCUCCUACCGAUUGAGUGGUCCGGUGAGGCUUUGGGAUCUGAGCGGAAAGAGCGUUUCGCUGUUUCUGCUCGGAAAACUCAGUCGAACCUUAUCAUUUAGAGGAAGGAGAAGUCGUAACA
rnacentral:rRNA from 1 species